rnacentral:lncRNA from 10 species
CGCAGCAACUCACCAGAGUGGUGUCCUUACUCUGCGUUUGGCCACUUCAAGUCUGAACUGCCACUGUCUUCUCUUUGCUGAUCUCUUGAAAACCAGUUUUUUUUUUUUUUGAGAUGGAGACUUGCUCUGUCGCCCAGGCUGGAGUGCACGAUCUCAGCUCACUGCAAGCUCCGCCUCCAGGGUUUAAGCGAUUCUCCUGCCUCAGCCUCCUGAGUAGCUGGGAUUACAGGCGCCCGCCAGCACACCCAGUUAAUUGUUGUGUCUUUAGUGGAGACCACCAUGUUGGCCAGCUGGUUUUGAACUCCUGACUUCAAGUGAUCCACCCACCUUGGCCUCCCAUAGUGCUGGGAUUACAGGCAUGAGCCACUGCUGCCAGCCAAAAACCCGUAUGUUUUAAUGACAGAUUGAUAACAUUCUGGGGGCAAGGAUUAAUAUUGGGACUUUUUUUUUUUUUUUUGAGACUGAGUCUCACUCUGUCGCCCAGGUUGGAGUGCAGUGGCGCGAUCUUGGCUCACUGCAACCGCCACUUCCCAGGUUCAAGUGGUUCUCCUGCCUCAGCCUCCUGAGUACCUGAAAUUACAGGCGCCCGCCACCACGCCAGUCUCAAUACCUUCACAGAGGUGAAGAAGCAGCAACCAAAUGAAUUAGACAGCAACAUGAUUCCUAGAGAAUGGCAAGACCAAUUCUUCAACUACUUCUUCAGCAUUUCUGAAACAUAUGGAAGAUGGCCCAUUGUGCUCUCUUAAUUCUUUGAUAAUCUGGACAUUGACUUUUCCAUUAUAUGACCUGGGCUUGUGGGCAUCAUGUCAUAAUGCACCUGUUCAGACAUCUCCCUGUACCAAUAUGGAUCACUUGAAGAGACUCCUUUGCCCCCAUCAAAAAGGAUACAGUUGUGUAUCUCUUCCAUUUUUGUUUACAGUGCCUAAAAUUAUUUGAGCAGUUUUUCACCUCUUCUCUGAUAAACACCUUAUUAGUCCUUAAAAAGAAAAGAA